CAGACGGUCUUAUCCCAUAGGGGCUGGAGACCCGGAUAUAGAAAAGGCAAGGGUCAGAGGAUCUGGGUAGCCGGACACUGUGGAAUCCAGGAGUAAGUCCCUGCGAGCUGCGGCAGCCCUCUGCUUCCUGGGUUGCAAAGAGCUCCACUCCCGAUACCCGUCCUGGGUUUUGGCACCAAAAUGUGAGCUUUUUUGACAAAUAGAAGUUUCAAAUUAAGGGAAAAAGCAGCAUGAAACUAUGCAGCCAUUCUCCCUGUGGACGAUAAAACAUGAGUUGAAGAAGUCACGGGUUGCUAAGGACCAAAUGUUUGUGUUCUCCACAAAUACCUAUGUUGAAGCCCCUUCUCAGUGGAACCAUAUUUGGAGAUAAGGCCUUUAUGAAGGCACACACAGACAGCACUUCCACCUCCUGGCCCCACUGCCCCAUGCAGUUGGGCAGAGCCUCAUGACUAGGCCUGAGCAAUGACAUUACAAGCAAAUGAAGCAUGAUGGGAAAUGAUAAAACAAUGAUCUCAUCUCUUCUCCUGCUACAUCUUAUGGAAGAGACCUCCUGUCACCUAGGGACAUUGGGUGAUGGUCAUUAAUGAAGCUAAAAAGUCAAUGAAUGCUGGAGCAGAGAAGUGCCUUCAAGUUCAUGGCAGAGUGAUGACUGCUAUUUUCUAGAACAUAUUUCAAGGGGCUGGAUAGCCAUAUCCUUAUGGAGGAGACCACCACCACAGAUCAUAGCUUCAGAGGAGGGCUUUGUCUAUUUUCACCUGAAAAAUGUGAAAAGAACCAGAAGAUCAAUGAUGAAUUCAUACGGGCCAGCUCUGGAAGAGGUGCACAUUGAUUAGGACUCAAGUGGCAUGGAAAUAAAGUAAUGCUAUGUAGCUAAGAAGAAGUAAAAACAAGUUUUGUGAGGAGUUAUCAACCUAUGCCUCAACUUUUCAAAAUCCAGAGUUUAUAUUAUGUAAAGGGGCUCAUAGCAUAUUUUCUGUUGCUAUUAGCAUGUCUGCCCUUGCCUACUAUUAAUACAGUGUUUCCUGCAUUUGUAGGUUUCUUGGACCAAUGGCCUUCAAACUGGGGAGUGGAGAGGAUUAAUUAAAUACAUACCCUCAAAAUAAUUGACUUCAUUCUUUGAAUAAGAUGUUUUAUUCAGAAAUGAAGAAAACAUAGUAAUGGGUCCUUAUAACAAUGUAAAACCAUUUCUAAAAUCCAUUUCCUCACCUCUGUUUCCUAUUCUCACAAUCCCAUUUCUCUCUAUGUAGAUUUUAUCUUAUAACAUAUGUUCUCAUGCACAAAGAAAUACAAAAACCAUCCGCCAUCCAACAGAAAUUAUAGAACCUAUAAUUUUUUAAUAUAUUAUUUAUAUCUGAUAAUAUGCUGUCAAUGUUCCCAUUUGAAAAAUUUAAAAUAUUUUAUCCAUUUCUAUUGAUUGAGUCUAUCUUAAUUCUAUUUUUUCUCUCUUCUAUUUGUCAUUCUUCUCCUGGCCAUUGUUUGUCAUGCUUACCACAUUGUAUGGUGGCUAAAGUUCACUAUUUCGAUAUAGACUCUCAUGGUUAUCAUUAUUCCACAAUUUCAUCAGGAAUAAUAUAAAUUAUAAUUCUAUAAUUAAAACCUUCUCUUUUUUAUUGUUUCUUAAAAUUGAAAUAUAAUGUCCAAAUCAUAGAGAUAAUCUUUUCCCCCACCUUCCUAAGUGUUUCUACCCUGUUCUAUAUGUUAUAUGUCAUUUGUUACUGGGAAUAUACUUUUGGACAUGCCAUCGAGAAUGAAUAGUAUGAAAAUAGUGUUCUCUGAAGUUGAGCGUUUUGAGACACAUGUAAGUUGUUCUAAAAAAGAUACGCUAAAAUGCAGUAACUUACUUAAAAUAAGUAUUUUUCUCUUUACUGUAAAAAUCAAUAUGUAAGAAGUUCAGUCUUGCAUGGAUGUGUCCUACUCAAAAAAUGUUGUAUCCUUUCAUCUAUUUAUACUUAAGAGUAUUGCCCUCACCUGGUUGGCCCCAAAUUGGCAAUUUUUCUGUAAAAUCUCUGUUCCCUUUUACUGGUGACAAAAAUCUAGACUUCAUCUGAGAAAAAAAUGACAGUCUUGAGAUAGCAGACUCACUUCUCACUGUAUAAUGUUAUCUUUUUCUUCUGUCUUGGGAUCACCUUUAUAUUAUUAAUUAUCAAAACAAAACCAAGAACAGUGUAAAAUAUAGGCAAAGCUAUAUUAAACUUGGGAAUUCUAGUACUUACGAAAUAAGAUACUGGCUCCUAUUAUCUAGUAAUGUCCCACCGUGUUCUAUGUUCCCUAAAGCAUGUCCAGAUUCAUUUUCUUUGAUAGGUAAAUAUAAAGUCACUAGCCAUUGCCUUCUACCAGGGACCCAGAGAUAGGGAAGUGUGGAUAUUCGUGUUUAUGUGUAUGAUAAAUAUAUGCAAGAAACUGAAGCUGAGCAGUCAUUCUGUAGAUUAUAUGCAAUGCAGCCUAAACAUGUAAAUUUGUCAUUUCUUGCAUGGUGUAAAUCUAAAAUCAUUUAUUAUUUAGUAAUGAUUUUUUUCAUUAGAAAUAAAUUCUUAGAAAUAAUGAGUUAAUUUAAUAAAAAAUAUUUGGACAACUUUUGAAAGCCAUGUAACUUGCAAAAUUUGAGGGCUGUCGUAUUGUCACUAACCAUAUGAAAACAGACACAUCAAUAGCUUUAAAAAAAAAAGAAAAAGGAACUGUUCUCUGCCAUGGAAUGAAACUCAAAGAAGGAUGUUUCCAAUAGCCCCACACUACAUGUAGAUGACAGAACUUCCAACUCAAACAAAAAUGGUAAUAGCAAGGUUCAGAAGACCCAACAGAAUGGGCAUAGUUUUCCAUGGAUACCCCAAUAUAGGACAGUUUCAUGGACAACUUUCACCUCACAUUUU